rnacentral:tRNA from 1 species
GGGUCGCUAGCUCAACGGCAGAGCAGGGGUCUCUUAAAUCCAAGGUUGUGGGUUCGAAUCCCACGCGACCCACCA